GACGAACGCUGGCGGCGUGCUUAACACAUGCGAGUCGAACGCUGAAGCUCAGCUUUUGUUGGGUGGAUGAGUGGCGAACGGGUGAGUAACACGUGAGUAACCUGCCUCCUUCUUUGGGAUAACGCCCGGAAACGGGUGCUAAUACUGGAUAUUCACUGGUCUUCGCAUGGGGGUUGGUGGAAAGGGUUUUUCUGGUGGGGGAUGGGCUCGCGGCCUAUCAGCUUGUUGGUGGGGUGAUGGCCUACCAAGGCUUUGACGGGUAGCCGGCCUGAGAGGGUGACCGGUCACAUUGGGACUGAGAUACGGCCCAGACUCCUACGGGAGGCAGCAGGGGGGAAGAUUGCACAAUGGGCGCAAGCCUGAUGCAGCGACGCCGCGUGAGGGAUGGAGGCCUUCGGGUUGUGAACCUCUUUCGCUCAUGGUCAAGCCGCAACAAUGGUUGUGGUGAGGGUAGUGGGUAAAGAAGCGCCGGCUAACUACGUG
rnacentral:rRNA from 1 species